GAUGAACGCUGGCGGCGUGCCUAAUACAUGCAAGUCGAGCGAACGGACGAGAAGCUUGCUUCUCUGAUGUUAGCGGCGGACGGGUGAGUAACACGUGGAUAACCUACCUAUAAGACUGGGAUAACUUCGGGAAACCGGAGCUAAUACCGGAUAAUAUUUUGAACCGCAUGGUUCAAAAGUGAAAGACGGUCUUGCUGUCACUUAUAGAUGGAUCCGCGCUGCAUUAGCUAGUUGGUAAGGUAACGGCUUACCAAGGCAACGAUGCAUAGCCGACCUGAGAGGGUGAUCGGCCACACUGGAACUGAGACACGGUCCAGACUCCUACGGGAGGCAGCAGUAGGGAAUCUUCCGCAAUGGGCGAAAGCCUGACGGAGCAACGCCGCGUGAGUGAUGAAGGUCUUCGGAUCGUAAAACUCUGUUAUUAGGGAAGAACAUAUGUGUAAGUAACUGUGCACAUCGUGACGGUACCUAAUCAGAAAGCCACGGCUAACGACG
rnacentral:rRNA from 1 species